AUAAAUUAUUUAUUUUUAAAAUUUUAAGCCUGGCGGUCCUUUGCUCUGUUUAGAGAGUUGUGUUUUCAAGAAAUCGAAAUUGCACGAUAACCUUUCUUUUUUUAGAAUAGAGUUUUAAUUAUAAAACUUCACCUUGCACACCGCCAUUUGAAGGGGUAGAAACAGACUCUUUCCCCUUUAAUCAAAGAAAAUGAAAUAAGUUAGGUAAAGGUGCAGGGAAUAAAAAAGAAUGAAGAUGCAACACACUGUUAAAAUUUUGGUUAGUGAAAAAAAGAGAAAAAAAUUUCUAAAAAGAAUUUAGAAGUAAAAAAGCAAAAAAAAAGCUUUUGAAAAGUGCAACACAAUGGG
rnacentral:rRNA from 1 species